CAGGAAUACAGAAGUGAACCAUGUUAGCAACACACACCUCAAGGAAAAGCUGAUAUGAAUCAGCACAGGAAUAUUGACCACCAAUUCCAGUUCUGUGCUGCCUGAGAAACACUCUUUGGUAGAUAUACAAGUUUUGUCCACAGGUAGACAAGAAGUUUGACACCUACAAUUUUUGCCCAGAUGAUAGAGCACUUCAAGUCAAGACUAGUCUGCCUCCAGCUAUGCAGCUAAGCAGGGCAGUGGAACCAGUGACAAAGCAGGGGGCAUAUCAUCUAUCAAAAAGGACACAGUGAAGAGCCAGAAGACUGAAAGAUAUCUGUAUAUGCAGGAGAUGACAAAGCUACUACAUUGUUGCAGCACAAGGGCCUCUGAACAAGGAAGUAUUCAGUCACUGAACAAAUGCAGUGUUGAGUGUUCAUACUAAGAAAAGUGCAUCUUUCCGCAUCCACAUUUCAAUAGACUAAGCAGCUAAAGGAUCGGCUUCCAACACACCAGAGCAACCCGCAGGGCAAAGGAUGAAAAAAGGUCUUUGUAGGAACAAGACGGAUAACCACAAAAGGAGAGAGAAAAAGCUCUUGAAAUGCAUUCAGUAAGGCUGCUCAGGGCUGCCAAAGACUAUUCAGAGCUCCUGAACUACACCUGAAGUUGGACUGCGAAGAUGAGCCUGGCACGAUCGCAGUGCAGGAACAAGGAGUGCGUAUGGCAAGAGGAGGAACAUCACACUCAGUACAGUCUCUUAGAAAAUCUACUCAAUUCCAAGCCUCUCUGGCCUAACAUCUGAUUUUUACCCAAAGCAAUUACAUAAAAAUGUUUUUUUUUAUUAGACAGAAGACCUGCUACCUCAAGCAGAUCCAGAAUUUAAUUGCUGACUUCAGCACAAAAAGAGCUUAUUACCCCGUUUCUGACAACCCUGCAAAAGAAUUAAGCAAAAAGCUCUGAGCAGGAGCUUAUUUGACUCAUUAGCAUCAACUGCAAUAUUAAGUAUAUUCCUCUGAUGGCAAAUCUUUGAUUUAUGUCAAGUCCAUCUGAGACCUGUUUGGCCACAAAGUCUCUCUCCUACCCUGUACCUAUCAGAGAUUGAGAACAGAGGAUCAAGUGAGGGCAUUAUGAAAAGACUGAUUUUAGCCAAGUGGUGCAGCUGGAAAGCACUUUCGAGUAGUCUCUCACCUACAUCUCAUCUUUUUCUUAAACAGAGAGGCAAGUCCACCAACUUUCUAAGCUGUGAUCCAAGGUCCUCUAAGGUUUCAAGACUUGGAUACCACAUAUAUUUAGAGCUUUGAUAAGCAACAGACUGAAUUAUAUUUGUAUUCUAUUACACAUGAAGUUGCAUCUCAAAGCUUUCAUAUUCACCAUUAGCUACCAAGAUUCCUCACAGAAAAUUACUGCCCAAAACAAGCCAAAAACAUGCAGAUUCCCAAUGGACACAUCACCAAGGCAUGAAUAAAUGCAGACAAUGGACACAUCACCAAGGCAUGAAUAAAUGUAGAGCUCAGAAGACUACAAUACUGAACACAGAUAUUUUGGGCCAGAUCAAAAAGAUAGGACUUAGGCAUAGUUGAGGCAUUAAAGUAGAAAACAGCAAUCCUCUGAGCCCUGCUUUCAACAUUAACAGCACUCAGGCACCUAAUGUUCUGCUCUUGUGCAUCUCAAACACCAGUCUUGACAUCCCACUUGGUAUUCAGCAUAAAAUAUAUGAACCACUCCUUGGCACAGGCACUGGAACCCAGAAACUCCCCCCUCUACCCAUUAAACCAGAGUUAUGCUCCCUCUUGCUCCUGCUCAAUGAAUCUUCAAUUCCUCUAUGCAGAACAUAGUGAGUUUGACAAGAUGGGUGUAAAUCAUACCCCAUACACAUACACACUCAGAAGAGCUUCUAGCCUGUUAGGCAGUUAGGGCAGGUUCCUGGAAAGUCAGAGAUCUAGGUUUGAUCUUUCUUGGUGCAGAGGAGAAAAGAGAGCGCCCCAUCCUGGAGAAGGCAGCUCCUCCCUGUCCCAAGGCAACAGGCCCUACUCAGGGCACUGGUUUUGGUGUAUCCCCUUCUGAAGGCCUACCACCCCUCUAGCACCAUUAAUCAGCUUUGCACUUAAUGCAGGGCAUGACCGCACCAAGGGGGGAGAGACACAAGCUGACUUUGCUUGCAUUACACAGGAAUUAAAUGCACUGAGGAGCACAGAGUAGGAGCCCUAUUACCACCUGCACAUGAGACAGCAAUGUGCAGCAAACUUAAGCACUGUGCAGUGAACUGGUUUUGGUGCAGUGCUGCACAAAACAUGCCUAUAAAAUCCCUGGACCUAAGCUGGUAAGCUCACAGAAUACCAUGCAGACUUAGCAGCCUGGACCUUCACUUGCUUAAGGCCCUCUAUAACUUUCCACUUCAGUGUGUGGAUGCCCCUUUCCAGCGUCCCACAGGGAGGGCAUAUUAUUAGUUAGCACUAUUGCAUUUACAUUCCUUUUGGUCCAGAUGGCUAAAGGAGAUGAACUUGGUUUUCCUGUGAGUUAUUAGAAGGCCAUCAAGUAGAUUGAUCUCCUGUCCAUCUUUUAGAGCUAUUACAAGGAUGUCAUGAGUCAGCCAAACAGAUAAUUCAUGAUGAACCUUUCUUGAGCUACUAGAUGAUACAGUGCUAAUCAGUACACUCCUCAAACACCCUAUUCAGUUUGUCUUUCCCUUGCUGAACUAGCCAGAGAGCCAAUCCCAUACAAAUCCUGAGCCUGCUACUACCACUUACAUACUAACUUUCCCAAGGUGAGUUGUCUUCCUGAAGUUAGUGGGACUCUCUAAACAAGUGACACUGCGUGUGCACACAAAGCGCCUGCAGAAUUAGGUUGAGAAAAAUAGGUCAAAACAGGCAUAUAUUUAACUUGCGAGUCCAAACUUCAGAAUAUUUUACUAACGCAUAAUUCACAGACAUGUGCACAAAACCCACGUUUUAUAACCACUGAAAAGACAUUCUGAUAUGAACUAAGGGGCCAAAUUAUUUUUAAACGGAGACUCUACCAGAUACAUCUGCGUUACCAUUCCAAAGACAGGUUAGACAUCCAACCUCCCCCCAUAACCCAAAAUCCUUCCCUUUUCUCUAAUCAAAAACCCUCCUCCUGUAACCUCUUUUGGAAAAAUCAUUUCUUUAUCCAUUUUCAACUGGAAUCGUAAAGUAUAUGGUGAAUGUGGAAGGUUGAGACAUUCAUGCAAAGAGCCUGGUCAGGACAGUCAACCCAAUUCCAACCCUAGAAAAAUACAUUUGCAGGGGGUUAAGCAUCAGAGGCAUGGUGUCAAGUUCUGGCAGAUGUACAAACAGGGAAAGGAGGAAGGGCACAUGAACAGUUUGCCCCUUUCUGGAAGUUCCGCAGAGACUCCCAUGGGCUUGUGAUGAUCUUCCAAGCUGCCCAAGACAACACAGCUGAUGCCAAGAGGAAUUUACCAUGUAGCUCCAACAAGCAAACCUAGUAGUUGCUCCUUAAAUCAGUUUUCCAGGAGGCAUUGUCUGCUUCCAUCCUCCUCUAGGGUCCACCUCUAGCCAAACCUUGGCAGCACAAGUGGCAAGAUGAAGCCACAGAAGUAGUCAGUAUCAUGCUGUCACUACAAUUUUGCUGCAUUUCCUGAAGCAUGAUUGCUUAUUUUGCUCCCCAGUCCCAACCUCUUUCAUUCCCUCCACAGCAACAUUAAAAUCCAACACCAUAGAUUUGUUGCCCAACCUAAGCACUUCGAUAGGUGCAUUCCCUCUCUGCACCUGCUUCUGCUUUAUACACAAUUAAGCACAAAAGACACACAGAGGCACUUUAGCAUUCAGACAUUUAUGCUGAGGUAAUAGAUACUUUUAAUUUAUUAUUAAUGUCCUAGUAAAAUUGUUCAAAUACAGAAACUAGGGGUUUUGCCAUCAUCAUGCUGUUAGGUACAGUGUGUUAGUCAUUAAUCCAUUUUGUCAUUGUCUGAGACAAAAUUGCACAGCCGAGAAAUGGCAACAUUUGUAACAAGGUGUGUUGGAGAUAGCAACAGUACUUUGCAUUUGCCAAAUUCUGGGGAGGGGGAAGGGGGAGGAUAUCAAAUUUAUUAAAGAGAAUGGAAACUGAUGUGCAGAGAGGGACAAUCUUUGAAAAUUCUAAAAGAUGGCACUUAGAGUGACCAAACGAUUUUGAGGAGCAGGAGGGAAUACGUUCAAAAUCAAAUUUCAGAAGCAGAUAAUGGUUUUAUACCACUGUAUGGUUUCUUGUGCCAACGUAAGAAAAUACUGCCUUUAGUCAGGUGAGAAAUCUCAUCUUUAAUGAGAGCUUGAUUCAUGUGAAAAUUGGCUAAUUUACUUCCAUGCUUAAAGCAAAAUCCAUAAGAACCGUUAAGAAGUGGAAAGCUGAAAGUAAACAAAUCGCAUAGCCUAACUCUUAUAAGCUACCACUUGCUAUGGGUCUUGGAAAGGAGUUCCAUCACAGGACCAGCUCUUAUACAUUGGAAUCCUUUUCCAGCCUAACAAGAGCAGGAGGAGGAAAAGAGGCAGUUCCUCUCAUUAUCACUUAAUAUUUAGGGUGGGUACUCACUCCUAUAUAGUUCUGUUUUAGACUGCUGCCAGAGCAAUGAGAAAGUGUCAGUGCUUGACACUGGCACAGUGAACAGCCACCUUUCCCUACAUUUUAGCUCUGUAAAUAAAAGCCACAAAAGGCCAGAUGCUACUGCCCUUUAUCAAGCAAAGAUUCCAAUAACUUUAGUAGGAGUAUUGUUCAUUUUUAGACCAAAGGGUUUGGCUCAAUAAUAUUUUAUCUCAGCACCAGGUCUCUACUACGACUCACAAUACGCAGUAUUUCUGAAGCAUGGUUCAACCUAACAUUGACUACUACUUGCAAGAACACCAUGCAGCCAAAUUACACAACUUAAGUUCAUGAAAGGAUCUCAUUCCUACUCUCCAUGUAGCCUCCACAGGCCUGUAACCAAGGCAGCAGACAACUUAACAGCUAAUGGGCCUUUCAUGAAUCUUGAACAGCACCAACUUGGACAUGUGAGUUCUGCCUUCAACAUUAAAUAUUUCAUCCACUUUUUCCCCCCGUUUCCACCAUGUAACUAAAACCUAUUUCACAGAGUAAAUUUUUGCUUUAUCAUCUUCGGACAACCACACAGUUGCAUACAAAGCAAAGUAAAUAUUUCUACACUAAAAAUCCUCAGGCCUCUCCCAUAGCUUUUCUUUCUUUCUUUCUUUUUUUUCUUUUUUUUUUAACACAUCAUUAAAGGCAAAACACCCAACAUUUGAUGGAUGUUCUGCAUUAGAAUGUGAAUAAAAAGUUUAUUUUCCUGAGGCUGCAGGUACAAAA